CAGCAGCAGCCGCGGGAAAACGUAGGUGGCAAGCGUUGUCCGGAAUUAUUGGGCGUAAAGGGCUCGCAGGCGGUUUCUUAAGUCUGAUGUGAAAGCCCCCGGCUCAACCGGGGAGGGUCAUUGGAAACUGGGAAACUUGAGUGCAGAAGAGGAGAGUGGAAUUCCACGUGUAGCGGUGAAAUGCGUAGAGAUGUGGAGGAACACCAGUGGCGAAGGCGACUCUCUGGUCUGUAACUGACGCUGAGGAGCGAAAGCGUGGGGAGCGAACAGGAUUAGAUACCCGCGUAGUCCCUGUCUCUUAUAC
rnacentral:rRNA from 1 species